GAUGUACGCUGGCGGCGUGCCUACUACAUGCAAGUCGAGCGAAGCGGGGACGGGUGAGUAACACGUGGAUAACCUCCUAUAAGACUGGGAUAACUUCGGGAUAACGGAGCUAAACCGGCAACUUAUAGAUGGAUCCUCCAUGCAUUAGCUAGUUGGUAAGGUGACGGCUUACAAAGGCAACGAUGCAUAGCCGACCUUGGAGGGUGUUCGCCUACGCUGAAACUGAGACACGGUCCAGACUCCUACGGUGUGCAAGAGGAGGGAAUCUUCCGCAACGGGCGAAAGCCUGACGGAGAAACGCCGCGUGAGUGAUGAAGGUCUUCGGAUCGGAAAACUCUGUUAGUAGGGCAGCGGUACCUAUUCAGAAAGCCACGGCUAACUACGUGCCAGCAGCCGCGGUAAUAC
rnacentral:rRNA from 1 species